UUAUGUGAUCGUCUCUCGCAUAUCAAUAAGCGGAGGAAAAGAAACUAACAAGGAUUCCCCUAGUAACGGCGAGUGAAGCGGGAAGAGCUCAAAUUUGAAAUCUUAAAGGGUUUCCCUUUACGAAUUGUAGUUUAAAGAAGUAUUUUCUGUUGAGGUUUUGGUAAAAGUUCUUUGGAAUAGGACAUCAUAGAGGGUGAGAAUCCCGUAUUUGACCUUUACUUUCAACUUUGUGAUACACUUUCAAAGAGUCGGAUUGUUUGGGAAUGCAGUCCAAAAUGGGUGGUAAAUUUCAUCUAAAGCUAAAUAUUGGCGAGAGACCGAUAGCGAACAAGUACCGCGAGGGAAAGAUGAAAAGAACUUUGAAAAGAGAGUUAAACAGUACGUGAAAUUGUCAAAAGGGAAGCGUUUGACACCAGUGUUGUUUUUCUGAAAAUCAAUUAAAGAACUGUUUAUGCUAAGCUGUUUAGACUUUAUCAGCUAUCUGUUUAGUUUUGAGCUUUUCUUUAAUGCACUUUUCAGUUAACAAGUCAACAUCAAUUUCUUUUGCUGUAAAAAAGCUUGAGGAAGGUGGCUUGAGAUUCGUCUUAAGUGUUUAUAGCCUCUUGCCUAUGCAGUCGGAGAGAUUGAGGUCUGCAGCGUAGAUCCUUCGGGGCUAAAUGCAUUUGUGCUAAGUUAUAGCAUUUUAUAGACAACUUGUUGACUAUGAUUUGUCUUGUAGCUUACUCGCUUAUGUUAUUUUACCUACGCUUAGGAUGUUGAGUAGCGACAUACGCAC
rnacentral:rRNA from 1 species